AGUAAAUUCACUGGGAGCUUCCUCACCGGCUGCUGAGUUCUGCAGGGAACAAGACAGCUGAACGCUGGUCUUGGCUGGAUGGAGCAACUAAGCAAUGAAAAGCAAUUUGAAGGGACCUAAGAUGUGCAAGUCAGUUGAGUUUACUCUGAAAAAGCUCUUAAAAAAACCUCCACAUCAGAAUAAGCUUGAAGUAAAAAAAUUCCCAUGAUCCAGAGUCCUAUGUAUUGCAUCCUUCUAUCAAUCAAAAAUAUAUGCCUUUCUUAAUGCCUCCUGCUCUGUCUGGUUGUGCUUAAUAAUUCUUCCAAGAAGUAUUUUCAAACCAGCUUUAUCAUCAGACAUGACACUAGAAAAAUGCAUUUGAAAGAGAAAAAGUGUGCUGUAUUUAUAAAAAACAAAUCAUCAUCAUCAGCAUCAUCAUCAUCAGUAUAUUAUUGUCCCAGUAGCUGAAAUAGCUGAAGUAAAGAGCAGCACUGAUUGCAGUUUGGAGUUUGGUUUCCUCUAUCUUUGAAAAAACAAAAGACUGCAAAUCCCCAUAAGUGAGAAGUAUCUUCAUUACAGCAGGGCAUGAAGCUGCAGUUAUGCAAACUGGACUUGCCAUUAACACCUGUGCUGAAUUAUUUCCCACUGAUUGAACAGGUGUUGGGCACUGUGUAACUCAUCAUUGAUUUGGAAUGGAUGAUUUUGCUUCAGGAUACUUCUGGCAAGCUGAACCUCUCUAGCUGUUUCUUUAUGUACAUAAAAAAAAGGGAAUGGACUUGAAACUACAGCCAUCACUGAAUAAUGAGUGCUGGGGAAAAAACCCUGCCUUUCAAUACUGACAAUCAGUAGAUAAAGAAUUCCCUAAUGAGAAGAGAGCUAUCUCAUUUUGCUAUGACUCUCUUGAAUGGUGUGAAAAGAAAGAAUAUUAUUGUCAACGGACAUACCAAGUCAGGAACUAACACUGGAUGAUUUUGUCAGAUACAAGUGCAUAAGUUUGUAGCUUGCUCCAAUUACUGUGUAGCAGACAACAGGUUCAUUUGUAGCUUAGAGUUCGAAUUCUUGAUAACACUCAUGAUAAGUAUCUUAAAAAAAUAAAAAGCUAGCUCAAUACUUGAAAAACAGUAGGUUCCAAGUCACUACAUAUGUUCAGUUAAGAGCAUGGGUUUUGCUCCAAGAGAAACUGACAGCUCUGUUCCUUCAAGUACAGAUCUGCAAAAAAAUUUCUUUAUCCUAAUUAUUAUGUUGCUUAUACAGAGAUGGCAACUUAUAAUAUGCUAUUAAUGAUAAUUAUUAAUAAAGGUGUUGUUUUCUUUGUCUUUAACAAAAAUUGGUUUAGUCAACACUUUCUAAGAGGGAUGGUCUUUCCUAUUGAAAAAACUUUCUAUUGAAACGACUUUUGAGAAGAAUUAGAUUCUCAUCUGCCCGCCAGUCUGUCUACUCUUGAGAAAAUUUCAGUUAGUUUCUCUGAAUAUCUGAAUAUACAGUUUGGCUGAAAAUAUUUCUGUUCUAAAGAGAUGUAGAGAUGGGUCAUGGAAACUUGAGUCUUGAGCCUUGCUAUCCUAUCCUCUGAAACCCUAAUCUUUGGAGAUUAUUUCCCAGAAAGCAUCUCUUGCAGGUGGUCUCAUAAUCGGGCUAGACAUACACAAUGGAUGUUCUAGGUUAACUGGGGAGAUUGAAGGACCUAUAAAGAUGUGAACAAUGUUAAUUGUAAUUUCCUUAAUAUAUAGUUGUCCCAUUACAGAGAGGUUAUAUUUUGAUAGUUUUAUUGGAACCUUAAAAUGAGGUUGGGGGUGGGGGUGCGGACCCCAACAGGGCUAUUUUAUCACAGUCUUCCAAGGAAAGAUACCUCUUUUUACUUGUUUUAUAUUCUAAUGUGUAUUUUGUACAUAUAGCCACUCUUGUAUUUGCAUUAUUGACAUUCCUUGUUCCUUUGGAAUUGGUUUAUGUAAGCUGAUUUGUGUCAGUCUUUACCGGUAUACAGACCUUAAAGGGAGGGUAGAAGUAACUGAAAAUGGAAUUAAGAUCUUGUAAAAGUAUCUUGUGUACUUAUAUGAAAACAGUAGACAGAAAAAUAAAUAAUAAAUAAAAUAUAUAUGUUCUGUAGAAUUGUGUGAUAUAAAUCACAUGAUUUCACCUACAUAAGUUACCUUUGAAAAAUAUAAUUUAUUCCAGUUGAGGGUUUUAUGACGCUAUAUACCCUGAGAUACUCAGAACAGUGCUCUUUGUGGGAAGAUAGUUCUCAUUUGCUGUGUAAGCAGAUGUUGCUGUGUAAGAGUCACCCAACCAAAUCUUUGUUGUUGAAAAGGGAGGUUUAUGAUUCAAGUCUCACUGCAUAACCAGGUGAUAAGUCCUGUCCAAAAGUUAAAUAUGCGAACUUUUCACAGACACAGACCAGAUGCUCCACAGAAGCUCAUAAGUUAGAACAGAAAUAACUGACCACAAUAUUAUCGCUGCAGUAAAUUCGCCCCCCAGACUUUAAUUGCUUGUGACACUAUAGCCCUCAAGCUCUGUCCUGCAGCUUUUUAAAUUUUAAAUUUAAAGAAGGAAAGGUAAGAACGCAGCAGGCUGAAAUUGUUAUGUCUCUGUGCAAAUGAACUAUGUAAUGUUAGAAAAGGCACACUUCCAUAUGAGGGCACGUGAGGCUAUCUUGUGAGUACUCUUGUCUGCAGAGUUUGCUCUGGAAUUUUAAUGUCCAUGCUAAAGCUGUCUUCUGAAGAUUUAAACUGAGAUUGUUUUGUGGCUAAAUUUCAAAGUCUUCUGACAGAAACUGUAGUAGCUGUAGUACAGAAAUGAAAACAUUCUUUCUUGCUUUUGCUAAUGAUCAAACAGAGCUAAAUUGUGAUUGUUAGCUAAUGUGUCACUCCAUGAAAACCACUGGGAGAAAUUCUGUACAGAUUUGCUGAGUGGAUGGCAAUUUGCCCUUUAAUGCUCACAGUGCGUUAGCUUCUAUACAGCGUGUGCAUUUUGUUGUCUUGUGUCUAGAGCAAUAUCGAGGUUGUUGUUUCCUUUUCAAAGCAGCUCCAUAUGAGUCAAAGAGAAACUUACAAAAGAGGUGUAAAGUCUAUUCAGAAGCGCAGUCUUUGUGUAGCAGCUAAUUCCUACACAAACAAAUAUGAAGGAUCAGCAGGUGCUUUAUGCUACAUUGUAGUGUUGUAUGUUAUGAAGCUCAUGGAAGGAAGAUGGGAUUUAACCUUUUAUACUCUCCUGCAUUCCACAUCUAAAUUCAUAUAUUUGUGAUACCAAAUGGAAAAAUCUAGAGGAAACUUCUUAUAAAGGAUGUAUAUAAAUAUGCUUAGGAAAAAAAAAUUAAAAUGGUUUGUCUCCACAGGACAUGUUUACAAUAACAGGCAACAAGGUAAGACCUUUUUUUUCCAUGUUAAGGCUGAUGGAAAUUUGGUGCCAGCCUGCAUGUCCUUCACCUGCUAUCUCUGAGUAGAUGUUGAUUUUUCAAUUUACAGGUCUGUUAAGAAUUCAUGACAAAGUUAAAUUAUACAUGAGAGUGAAAAUUUUCUCCUCCAGAGAGGAGAGUCUUAGUUGUGAUAUGGUUUUUAUAGUUUUUAAUUGCUAAAAACUGUCAGAAAAAAACCAUUUUUCCCCUGCCUAUUCCUCUUUACCUUAUAUUUAAGUUUCUCCACACCAAAUUGUUGUUUCAAUAUUAAACUAAAUGUAGAUUUAAUAUGGGAGGAAAAAUAUUGAUGUCCUUUUGGAACUACUCAUUAGUUCUAAGGCAGGGGAAACUGGAGAGGUAAAAAACUGCCUUCUAUCAGUGUUUAUCACCCAGGGUUAAUUGUGUAAUUCAGUUUUACUAUUCAGUUCAUUAGAACUUUAAGGCCAAAUUAUUAUCUUCACUUCUGCCUCCAAAUUUCAGAUUAUUUCUACCCAAAAUUAAUAACAUUUAUUUUUCAGGUUAAAAACCUCACUAGUAAAGCAUUGGCUCUUACUAAAAUUUUAUUUAUAAAGUGGUUUUCACUUGAAGAAAGAUGUAGAUCUUUGACAAUAGAAAAUAUUGUAACUUGGGUAAAAGCCUUGACAGAAGACAGUACUUUAUACUGCAAUUAUUUUAUUCUAUCAUACCACACAGUGAAUUUUGGGGCAUUAACAAACUGUGAGAAGUAAAUAGAUUUGUUUAAAUCUCAGUAAGUAAGCAAGUUAAAAUAUUUUCUAUUGCUGAAGAGGAAGCACUGACCCCUGUAUUGAGCAAAUACAUUUAAUGGAAGCAAUAAUUGGCAGGUUGAAUACAAUUAUUACAGUUCUGGAUGGUUUUGGUUUCUUCCUGCUUUUGGUUUGUCGAGUCUUUUAUCAUAGGAUGAAUAACCUGGAAUUCUCCAGAGUGGGCAAAUCCUUCAGUAAACUUUUCAUGGAAGAUUCCACAACAUAAGUUCUAGCCUUGCCCUGGAAGAAAUUUCUACAUAUAAAAUUCUACUACUUUAGGAAGAAGUACUGGAUCUGAUGUGUCAGUGUCAAUUCUGGUUAACUUAUUGUAAUUCAGAAAUCCUCUGGGUAUCUCAUGUCCAGAACUGUAAGAUAACUGAGUUUCUCUUGGUAUCCUAAAAACAUAGCUUGUGAAAAAAAAAAUUAUAGUGAGUAUUGAGUGAUAAUAUUCUUGAAAGGUCUAUUACUGUCAAGGGAAUCUAGAAAAUUUUAGGAGUUCUAAAUAUGUUAUUUUUAGCAAAUUUACUCUACUGUACACACUCUUGCAAUACCUAGGAGAACUGUAUAAUUAUACAGCAGGUAUAUAAAAUACAUUUGACAUUUGAUUGUGAAUGAACGUCAAAUUACUGUGCUGAAAAACACAAAAACUGAGUGACUUGCAUCUGGAAAAGCUAAAAAGGGAUGGAAAAUAGAAUUAUGUGAAGACAAUAAAAGGUGUUUAAUUCCGCCCUUUGCCUUGUCACUGUUUGAGUAGCAGUUACAUGGCAGAUAACAUGUGCAGUGUAGCAAGAACACUGAAGAAAGCAAUUACUGGUUUACUGCCUUCCUAGAUGAAGUGCAUGAUUUAUAUUUGUUGGUAAAAUAUAUAUACAUGUUUAGUGGCUUGGGACAAAGAAGAACACCUUGUGCUGUGAAGUUGCUCCUUCCUCUUGGAGUAAGAGAAUGAUGGUGGUAGAUAAUUAAAUUCCUUCAAUGAAGUACCGGACUUCAGAAACCCCUUAUAAACUUAGAUUAAUACAAUUGCUUGACCUAUGUAGAGAAAUCAUAGAAUCAUAGAAUGGUUGGGUUGGAAGGGGCCUUUAAAUGCCAUCUAGUCCAACCCCCUUGCUAUGAGUAGGGACAUCUUCAACUACAUCAGGUUUCUCAGAGCCCCAUCCACUCUGACCUUGGAGGUUUCUAGGGAUGAGUCAUCCAUCACCUUUACCCCCUGUCUUAUUGCAACAAGCCCUGCUACAAAGUCUGUCCCCAUCUUUCCCACCAACUAUCCCGCCAACUUCAGUGAGAAUUUCACAUGGCAAAUCAGGACAACUCUGGCAAAUAUUUCACAAGAAAGAAUAGACAAUGCCAAGUCUAGGGAGAAAGAGAGUCCUACGGGGAAAAGCAGAGUGAUAAAGGAAUUUAUAGGCAGUCAUAGGAAUGAGAUGGUGAAGCAAGCAUAUUAGUAUGAAGUGGAGAAUAGCUGAUGCUGAACUUUUGUAUUGUGCCUUCAGCACCUGUUUGAUACCGAGUUUUACCUCCAGUCAACUGUGCCAGUGUAGUUAAAAAAAAAAAAAUCAGCAUCAGCAGGAGAUAUUCCUCUCAGCAAUCUUAAUGAUGGAAGGGACACAAUUUCUGUUGGUUGUAGUUGUAAGUAUCUGGGUUCUCAAGACGAUCUCUAUAUUUCUAUUAUUAUGUUUUAUUUUGAGUAUUUUUAAGCUAUGGGAGAAAAGGUCCUAAGAGGUCUGUGAACCAAUGUUUUUAGGUAAACUAUUGUAGAGAUAGAGGACUUGUAACUUAAUUUCUGUACUUGCUAAAAGACAAAAAAUUUGGGCUGUUGUAUGCUAAAAAAGGUGGUUUAUGGAAGGUCAUCACAUACAUGGAUUUAUUUUACAAUAGCUUUAUCCUAGCUGAAAGGAUUUCAGCUAUUGUAGUGCAUACAUCUACAUGUAUGUAAAAAUGUCUUAUCUGACAUAGGUUUCAUUUUUGCAGUCUCUUUUGUGUAUGUGUGUGUUGUGUAUGUGUGUGUUGUGUUGAAAUUAUGUGUUUAUUUUUUAUUGUGGGCAUAAAUUAAAAAUGUUUGGACCAUCAAGGGUUAAGUUGUGAAAGCCUUCUAAAGCUGAAAAGAAAAAAAAAGUGCCAGCGUUUGUGAAAGAAUUCAGAUCCGUCCUUCUCUUGUCAUUUGCAAAAUGUUUUCUUGCUUAAGAACUUGAAUGAAAGCAGUGACAAAUUCUUAAUUGGAGCACACAGAUGCUGUUUGUGUAUGUUAUUUUCUUUCUGUCCACAAAAGUCAUCGAAUGCAAAACCAAUUUGCAUGCAGACUUUUUCAUAUGUGCCUGUAUAAAGAUGUGCAUAUGCAAAAUGAGUGCUGAUAAAUGAAUGCUCUAGAACCCAGUUAAUGUAGAAUUUUCCAUUUAAAAAAGUUUUGGUGGCUUUUAUCAGGAAAAAACCGCUUAAAGCUGAGUCAUACAGUUACCUCUCAAGAAAGAAAUAUUUAGCAGAAAUAUCAUUUAACUUCCUAGAAGGGAAGCUCUAUCAUAAUUCCAGUUUAAAAGCUGAGAGCUACAACUCAGCUUAACGCCAGGAAGUCAGCCCCAGCAGAGACGGUGUUUACCGAAAAUUCACGGCUGGACAUGUUCAGUAAUAAAGAACCCCUAAAAGGUUCAGGGCACAGUCCCCGCGCUCUGGACCACUGGAGAGCAGGACACGCUUUUGGCCGCUGUUGAUUUACCAUUGCACGGGGCUACCUUGGUGCGGGGCUGCGGUGAAUCAGGCUCGAAACGCUUGGCAUUAAUAAAGCUGUCAUGUACUCUCUGCAGGUGACAUCAAACCUUAGAAGAUGCUUGGCCAAUGGCAGGUUGCUCUCCCGCGGCAGACACGCAGGGUCUCAUCGGCAGUCAGCCUGCGCGCCGGAGCAGGGCUCCUGUCUGCCCGCCCGCACUGUGGGCACCGCUCCGCCCGGGAUGCUCCCGCCUGGACAGCCUCUCUCCCCCGACACGCCGGACUCAGCUUUAUGGUACAGGCAGGAUUUAUUGAUGAAUGAGGGAGGAAUUUCACCUGGGUUUUAUGAACUGGAAAAGCUGGAGGCAGAGCUCGGUUACACAGUGUUGCAUAAGGUGGUGCAGGGGUCUAAUAUCUGUCACAAUCAAAGGCUAAUGCAAAUUCAGUGGGCACUGUAACAUCAGCACUAAUAAUCAAUGUUAAAUUAAGAUGUAUUAUCUAGGUAGCAUGCAUAAAGAAAAGGGGAGUCCUGAAAUGUCACAGUCAUUUUAAUUAGAGCAGUGUUGAAGCUGGGGAGGGAGGCUUGUCGCUGUAAGGAAACUGUGGUAAAAUCCUGGUCAGUUUUUUCUGGAAAACACACUGUUAAUUACACUGACAUGCUGGAAUGGGACUGUAUAGUUACUCUCCUUGAUGAAAUGAGCUCUGUGUUUCUUAUGAGACAAGAUUUGAAAUAAAGUACAUAAAUAGAGUGGUAAAAACUACUUUAAUAUUUCCUGUCUUCCCUCACCCAUGUAUUUCCCUUGUAGUUAUUUUCAAUCUACAAAUUAAUUAAAAGUGCAGCAGGCACAGUAUAUCUCUGAUAGUUGUUUCUCUCCCACACGCUGCACUUGUUUAGAACAUAAAGGUUGUAGAAGUGAGUAAGAGCAUUUAAUAUAAAAAUGCUUGAAUGCAUAUGUGUGAGGAUUACUGCACACCAGAAAGGGCAAUUGUGCCCUGUGCAAUAUUAAACACCAUCAUUGUUAACUCAGGGCUGGAGGGUGCAAUUUUUAAAUAUAGUUUUUAUGUAUUGCAAACUCUUU